rnacentral:lncRNA from 1 species
GCCCCACAGCCCCACCACCCCUCUGUCCCACUGCUGCCUGGAAAGGGGGGGCUCUGGAUCCUGUAUAAACCUGGGAAGGAUAUUGGAAUCCCAUAUAACCCCAGGAAGGAUAUUGGGAUCCCAUAUAACCCCAGGAAGGACACAGAGAACCUAUAUAACCCCAGGAAGGACACUCAGAUCCCAUAUAACCCCAGGAACGAUGCAGAGAUCCUAUAUAACCCCAGGAAGGACACUCAGAUCCCAUAUAACCCCAGGAAGGACACAGAUACUAUACAACCCCAGGAAGGAC